UCAGCGUGCUCCGGGCGUCGG
rnacentral:siRNA from 1 species